rnacentral:pre_miRNA from 1 species
AUUCUACUCCUCCGUUGCACAAUACAUGCCUUCUAUUUGUCAAAAUAUAUAUGUAUCUAGACAUGUUUUAGUAUAUAGGUACAUCCAUUUUUGGACAAAUGGAAGUCAAGUAUUUUGGAACGGAGCGAGUACACA